rnacentral:lncRNA from 1 species
AAAACUCAAACCUCUCUCUCUAAAACGGCGCUUCCCCUCUGUUUCAGAUUCAACGAGAACAUCGAUUUUUUUAGAUCUGCUUGCGAACGAGCUGUACACGAGGUCUUUUUCUAUGCUGUUUCAGGUUAGAAAUCUCUCUUUAGAUUAUACUCUGCCUUUUGUUUUUAGGAAAAGGUUUGUUUGAUCUUCACUGUAGAUGACCUCAACAUAGUGAGCAACAAAAGAGGUCCACCGUCGACUUCCACACCGCCGUGCAGCUUUGUCUGGGUAUGUUUUUGAUGUCUGGUUCAAAUUGUUAGCUUUUUCAAGUUUCUUAUUUUUACUUAUUAGCUGAUGUUUUGUCCAGAAAUUUUGGUUUUAUUUAAUUGGGAUCCACUUUGAAUUUUUUUUUUAAUUCAUAAUGUACUAAGAUCUGAGUGUCAGAACUAAUUUGAUUUAGUUUAGUAAUCAGAUCUGUGAUUAUGUGUUUCUCGGAAACCUUCUCUUCCUCUUCUUUAUUAGAUUUGUUACUUGGGUUGAUGUUUAAUUUUUACUCCUUUCAUUGCAGUAUCUCACAAAUCUCAACAAUUCAUCACUGUCAUCUCCGAAAGCAGACUUCUUGAGUUGAUUUCGAAAGCAGACUUCUUAAGUUGACUUCUUUCAUUUGCAGUAUCUCACAAAUCUCAAAAAUUCAUCACCGUCAUCUCCAUUUUCUCCACCAUCGACAUCGAGACGGGUAGGGAGUUUUGUCCUAACAGGCCCAAGUGUCCAACACAACAACUAAGCUCAUUUACAAAACAGAACCCAAUAAGUAAAUAAUUGAUUAUCUGUUUGCUCAUGAUCUCUUUUUGUGUAAUGACUAUCGAUUUUGUCUGUAAUGGUCAUUAAUUGUAAUAAUCAUCAACUGUAGUAGUCUUUUAAUUGUCAUUAACCGUUAUUUUUAUGUAUCUUUAUCAAAUAUGUAACAUAAUCAAAUUAUUCUAUAUGGAC